GGUAUAGAUUUUAUUUAUUAAAUAAUUUUAUUUAUUAUAAUUUAAAAUAUUAAAAAUAAUUAUAUAAUUGAAAGUUUAAUUAUUGUAUAAAGAAAAAAUAAAUUUAAUAAUAGUUUAUUAGUAUUGUAAAAGAAUAUUGAAAUAAUUUGAAAAAUUUUUAUUGUAAAAGAAAAUUUUAUUUAUUGUACCUUGUGUAUCAGGGUUUAUCAAAUAAAAAAUAAAUAUUUUGUUUUUCUCGAUUUUAAAAGAUUUAAUAAAUUAUGUUAGUUAAUGUAAUAAAAUUAUUAAAAAUAAUUUAUUAGAAAUGAAAUGUUAUUCGUUUUUAAAGGUAUCUAGUUUUUUAAGAAAUAAAUUUAAUUUAGUUUUUAUAUUGUUAUAAUUUUAUUUAUUUUAAAAUUAUAAAUAUAUAAAAAUAAUAUUUUAUGGGAUAAGCUAUAAAAUAAAUUUUUAAAAAUAAAUAAAUUGAUUUAAAAAAUAUAUGCUUAGAAGUAGCAAUUAUUAUUAAGGGUGUUAUAAUAUAUUUUAUAUUAGAAAUUAUUUAUUUUAUUUUAAAUUUUUUAUUAAAACUUUUAUUUUAAUUUUAAAAAUAAAUUGAUAAUGAUAAAAUUAGUAUAUAUAUUAAUGUAUAAAUAAUUUUAUAUGAUAAGUUUAUAUAAAGAAUUCGGCAAAUAUAAUAUUCGCCUGUUUAACAAAAACAUGUCCUUUAGAAAUAAAUUUAAGGUUUGACCUGCCCACUGAAAGUUUUUUAAAUGGCCGCAGUAUUUUAACUGUGCAAAGGUAGCAUAAUCAUUAGUCUUUUAAUUGAAGGCUUGUAUGAAUGGUUGGACGAAAUAUUAACUGUUUCAUUUAAAUUUACAAUAGAAUUUUAUUUUUUAGUUAAAAAGCUAAAAUUUAUUUAAAAGACGAGAAGACCCUAUAGAUCUUGAUAAUUUUUGAAUUUUAAUUAUAAAGAUUAAUUAAAUUAUAAUUUUUGAAAUUAUUUUAUUGGGGUGAUAUUAAAAUAUAUAUAACUUUUAAUUGUUAUUAAACAUUUAUUUAUGAUUAAUUGAUCCAUUAUUAGUGAUUAUAAAUUUAAGUUACCUUAGGGAUAACAGCGUAAUUUUUUUGGAGAGUUCAUAUCGAUAAAAAAGAUUGCGACCUCGAUGUUGAAUUAAGAUAAAGUUUGGGCGCAGCCGUUCAAAUUUAAAGUCUGUUCGACUUUUAGAUUCUUACAUGAUUUGAGUUCAAACCGGCGUGAGCCAGGUUGGUUUCUAUCUUUAAAAAUAUAUAAUAUUUUAGUACGAAAGGGCCAAAUAUUAGAAAUAUUAAUUUUUUAUAGUUUGAAUAAAAUUAAUAAUUAA
rnacentral:rRNA from 1 species